AACGAACGCUGGCGGCAGGUCUAACACAUGCAAGUCGAGAGCCCCGCAAGGGGAGCGGCGGACGGGUGAGUAACGCGUGGGAACGUGCCCUUUGCUACGGAAUAGCCUCGGGAAACUGGGAGUAAUACCGUAUGUGCCCUACGGGGGAAAGAUUUAUCGGCAAAGGAUCGGCCCGCGUUGGAUUAGGUAGUUGGUGGGGUAACGGCCUACCAAGCCGACGAUCCAUAGCUGGUUUGAGAGGAUGAACAGCCACACUGGGACUGAGACACGGCCCCGACUACUGCGGUCGGCAGCAGUGGGGAAUCUUAGACAAUGGGCGCAAGCCUGAUCUAGCCAUGCCGCGUGAGCGAUGAAGGCCUUAGGGUUGUAAAGCCCUUUCAGUGGGGAAGAUAAUGACUGUACCCACAGAAGAAGCCCCGGCUAACUCCGUGCCAGCCGCCGCGGUAAAAC
rnacentral:rRNA from 1 species